UACGAAGGGGGCUAGCGUUGCUCGGAAUCACUGGGCGUAAAGCGCACGUAGGCGGAUCUUUAAGUCAGGGGUGAAAUCCUGGAGCUCAACUCCAGAACUGCCUUUGAUACUGGGGAUCUCGAGUCCGGAAGAGGUAAGUGGAACUCCGAGUGUAGAGGUGAAAUUCGUAGAUAUUCGGAAGAACACCAGUGGCGAAGGCGACUCGCUGGACAAGUAUUGACGCUGAGGUGCGAAAGCGUGGGGAGCAAACAGG
rnacentral:rRNA from 1 species